AUUGAACGCUGGCGGCAGGCUUAACACAUGCCAGUCGAGCGAGCGGCGGAAGGGUGAGUAAUGUCUGGGAAACUGCCUGAUGGAGGGGGAUAACUACUGGAAACGGUAGCUAAUACCGCAUACCAUCAGAUUUGCCCAGAUGGGAUUAGCUAGUUGGUGGGUUAAAGGCCUACCAAGGCGACGAUCCCUAACGGUUCUGAGAGGAGGAUCAGUCACACUGGAACUGAGAAACGGGCCAGACUCCGAAGGGAGGCAGCAGUGGGGAAUAGUGGACAAUGGGCGGAAGCCUGACCGAGCCAUGCCGCGUGUGUGAAGAAGGUCUUCGGAUUGUAAAGCACUUGAAGUUGGGAGGCGUUACCAACAGAAGAAGCACCGGCUAACUUCGUGCCAGCAGCCGCGGUAAUAC
rnacentral:rRNA from 1 species